rnacentral:rRNA from 1 species
GACGAACGCUGGCGGCGUGCCUAAUACAUGCAAGUUGAGCGAUGAAGAUUGGUGCUUGCACCCAUUUGAAGAGCAGCGAACGGGUGAGUAACGCGUGGGGAAUCUGCCUUUGAGCGGGGGACAACAUUUGGAAACGAAUGCUAAUACCGCAUAACAACUUUAAACAUAAGUUUUAAGUUUGAAAGAUGCAAUUGCAUCACUCAAAGAUGAUCCCGCGUUGUAUUAGCUAGUUGGUGAGGUAAAGGCUCACCAAGGCGAUGAUACAUAGCCGACCUGAGAGGGUGAUCGGCCAAAUUGGGACUGAGACACGGCCCAAACUCCUGCGGGAGGCAGCAGUAGGGAAUCUUCGGCGAAGGACGAAAGGCUGACCGAGCAAAGCCGCGUGAGUGAAGAAGGUUUUCGGGUCGUAAAACUCUGUUGGUAGAGAAGAACGUUGGUGAGAGUGGAAAGCUCAGCAAGUGACGGUAACUACCCAGAAAGGGACGGCUAACUACGUG